GAAAUCUCACUGUCCAACAAAGGAAAGAUUACUGGCUGUCAGAACAUCACACACAGCACUUCGAAAUCAACCCCUGCUUGUGCCUGCUAUAUGUGCUCAAUUAAAAGUUGCAAUUGUCGACCCUGCCAGAACGUCGGUAAACACGAGUCUAGCGAGAAAGCAAAUCACACCACUUCUCAACACACCCCAAACCAAACCACUCCCUCCCUUUCAGCCUACCCGACAGAGAAUCAACCCCCAGAAACCUCACUGAAUUUGGAAACAAUCCAAACCACACCCUCCCUUAUGUCCAUACAGUCAAUUAGUCAAACACCUCUCCCAGACCUUCCCGAAAGCAACUUUGAACUAGAAUCAAUUAAAACAACACCCCUUGAGAUUUCCCCAGAGAAAAUUUCACCCACCAAAUCAAUCACUCACACCAAAAGUGGUGAUUGUUUGUCAUGUGAAAUAAGCUCUUCGAGCAUACAGAUUGUAAACUUUCCCCUCCCCACACACCCCUUAGAACCUUUAACUACAACCCCUUUAGUCAUGUCAACAGCAUCUACCACCCCAGUAUCAACACAUAGCACGACCUCACCCACUGAAGACAACAAUGUCAACAUUGCUGCUGGUUUAGGUGUGUUUGCACUGCUCGUGUGUGCCGGCUAUGCCUGCAUUCUGUGCGCAUGCAAACAUCUACGCAGAAUGCGAGGUGCCAGAGUCCACAAUGGUGAUUGGGACUAUCGCACAGGACAUGAGCAGAUUCAACUAGCCCGUCUACCAGAACUCUUGCCUGCAUCUCAACCCCGACCAGAACCGCAACCCCUGCCAGCGAUUGAUGAAGAAACAGAGCCGACAGUGGGUGUUGAUCCCCCAUCUGCCAACGCUUGUUCUCCGUACGUGCUUACCUUUGUCGAAGAAGAACAAUGUAAAAAUUUACAGAUCUGAACCUCGGUAAAUUAAAUGUUUUUUGGUGAUGGUUUUUAAUGUGAAUAUUUUUUUUUGGUGAUGGUCUUUAAUGUGAAAUUUUUCUAACUUGAUUGAAAAGGACUUGAGCAGAUACCUCAACCCCUGCUGGCAAUGCAACCCAUCCCAGAACCACAACCCUUUCCAGAACCGCAACCCCUGGCUGAACAACAACCCAUGUCAGAACCGCAACCCCUGUCUGAUCAACAACCCAUUGCAGAACCCCAACCCUUGCCAGAACAACAACCCAUUGCAGAACCCCAACCCUUGCCUGAACCCCUACCUCCGCCAGCUGUUGAGAGUGAUGACGAGACAGUGCCAAAAGUGCUAGCUGAUCCACCAUCAGCUAAUAUUCACUCUCCGUUCGUCCUUAACUUUGAUGUAGAAGGACAAGGUAAAAAAAGACGAAAAAUUUUCAGAGCUGACACUCGGUAACUUUUUUUGUUUUUUUGGUGGCGGUCUUUAAUGUGCAAUUUUCUUACUUGAUUGGCAACUUUUUACUUAUUAUAACUAGAUUUAGUUUUGGUGGUGGAUCACUUUCUUACUGUAAUGAUUGAUUUGAACACCAAUUUUUUAGAUUAUUAAUGCAUAAUUCUUAGAGGAAGAACCAAGCCCACCUUUUGUUCCACGACGCAGCAUGAGACUGAAGACAAAAA